AUCUUGGGUAAUCUUGAGACACACAACUGACAUAUUAAGCAGAAAGUGCUGCUGGACACUUUGAAAAUGGCUGAGAGCAUUGCUCAUACCUGACUUUUGGUGGGGUCAGUAAGAGCAGGAUUGCUCUCCCUGAGGCCACAGGAAGAAAACUCCUACCUUCAGGUCUGCCUGCCUGAGACUUGUUCCUGGAAUUAGGCAACCCUCACCAACAGCAACACUUUCAGGAGAAGAAGGGGAAACAGGCAUUUCAUACAUUUUAAGAAAGAAGCUUGUGAAUCUGUUGGUCAUCUAUAAUUGAUCUCAUUGAGUGUAAAAAGGGCUUUGUGAUGUUAAUACAUUUUCUGUUUGUUCUGCAGUGUACCAGCCUGAUGCCAGCAAGAGCUCCACAUUUUGGAUAAAUCACCAGUUGCGCUGCCAACAGUGACUACCUUGUGCUGUAGAUAUGGCCCCAAAGCCAAGUGGCUCCACAAAGGCCGAGGAGACGCCUGUCAGAGUGGCAAUCCGAAUCAGACCACUGUUACCCAAAGAAAUUCUACAUGGGCAUCAGUCUUGCGUCCACGUCGAUCUCAACACACAGCAGAUUACACUGGGAAAUAACCGGCAUUUCCAAUUCGAUAUAAUCUUUGACCAGACUGCCAGUCAGGAUGAAGUGUACAACAGUUGUAUGGAACCACUGGUUGAGGCUUUCUUUGAGGGUUUCAAUGCCACUGUGUUUGCCUAUGGACAGACUGGAUCAGGCAAAACAUAUACAAUUGGGGAGACUUACAUAUCUUCUGUUACUGAUGAUGACCAGGGCAUAAUUCCCCGUGCUUUGGCUGAGAUAUUUAAGCUGAUUGAUGAGAAUGACGCAGUGGAUCACACUAUUAAGGUGUCAUACCUAGAGGUCUACAAGGAAGAAUUCAGAGACUUACUGGAGGUGGAAACAGCAAGCAAGGACAUCCGCACUCGAGAGGAUGACAAAGGAAACACAGUACUCUGUGGUGUCAAGGAAUGUGAAGUGGAAGGGUUGGAUGAAGCUUUGAGCUUACUCGAGAUUGGUAACACUGCCAAGCAUACUGGGACUACACAGGUCAACAUGCACUCCAGCCGCUCUCACACUGUUUUUACAAUUACCAUGGAACAGAGACGUGGACUUGGUCGGACCACACGACUUGCUACCACUCCUGGAGACCUGCUGCAUCCCACACAUGUGAUAACCUCUAAGUUCCACUUUGUAGACUUGGCUGGCUCAGAACGAAUUCUGAAGACGGGGAACACUGGUGAGCGACUGAAAGAAUCCAUUCAGAUAAACAGUGGAUUGUUGGCAUUGGGCAAUGUCAUCAGUGCCCUGGGUGAUCCAAGGAGAAAGAGUUCACAUAUUCCUUAUCGGGAUUCCAAGAUUACAAGGAUCCUCAAAGACUCGCUUGGUGGUAAUGCAAAAACACUGAUGAUUGCCUGUAUAAGUCCCUCUUCAUUCAACUUUGAUGAGAAUUUGAACUGCUUAAAUUAUGCCAAAAGGACUCAGAACAUUAAAAACCAAGCAGUGAUUAAUUUUAAGAAAGACCUGGAUCGUACCAGUGAGCUACAACUUCAAAUCAAGACUCUUCAUGAAGCUAUGGAGCACAACCAACAAGCGUCACCAAACAAAUGUUUCAGGCAAUUGCCUGAGAAAUACAUGGCCCGCUUACACGCCGAGAGCUCUCAUUAUCGGACCUGCACGGAUACUGCUCACCGAAUUUUUAUGGAGUUGCAGGGAGACAGAAACCUCACAGUGGAUCAAGUGCUAAAAGUGAAAGAGUGGAUAGCAAACGUGGAAGAGAUGCGGAGUGAGCUUUCCACUGCCUCUGGCCUCGACAGUGGUAUUGAGUGCAAUUCAACUGAUGAACCCAAAACCAGACAUGUAUCUAAGGAACAGGCAUAUCUUUUCAAGGGUCCUAGUGAAGUUGGCCCAGACCUUGGGCAAGAGCAGAAACAGCUUGUUCCAAAACUGCAGGCAAAAGUUCAGCAGCUGGAGGAAGAGAACAGAGAUUUCUUGGCAGCUCUUGAGGAUGCCAUGGAGCGGUUUAAACAGCAGAAUGAAACAUUAUUGGAUCAGGAGGACCAGAUUGUUGAGUUACAAAGUAGACUGAAGCUAGUAGGAGGGAAUCAGUCUGCAGUGUUGGUGGAUGAGGUCUUGGAGAGUCUCCAACUUGCUGAUCUCAGCUGCAGGCCUCACACAGCCCCUCAUCUUUGCAGAUUGAACGUGCCACAUUCCAGUCGCAUUCUUAAUGAUGAAACUGGAAGAACUCAUUCCAAGAAGAUGUCUGCAAAUGCUUCUUCCACAGAACAUGCAAGUAUUGCAUUUCAUAGCCACAGUCAGUGCCUGCAGCAAAGCAUGGAGGACAGGCAUUCUGUGUUUUACAGAGACUGCAACAAAGAUGGUGGAUCAACUGUGUUGCGAUCUGAUGAUGAGGAGGAUGAUUUUUGUGGGAGUCUAGGAAAAACCAGAUAUCAGAUCAAUCGGACCUGGACAAAAAGAGAUAUGCCUGGAAUGAUCAGCACAGUGAAAAGCAGAAACAACCUUAACCAGCUCCGAGACAGUGAUUCAAGCAGUCUGCAAAGUGAAGAAACGAAAUCUCCCCACAGAAGGUGUGACCAGGAUGGGGCCCACUCACUGCCAUUCUCUGAAUUCAAGGAAGUUUCCCCUGUGUACCAUCCCAAGAUGAACAACUCUGAGUGGAGACUCGUCCAAGCACAGCACAAGAUGCGGGAACUGGCCAUCAAUAUCCGCAUGAAGGAAGAAUUGAUCAAAGAACUCAUCAAAACAGGGAGAGAUGCCCAAGCGAUGAAUAAACAGUACUUCCAGAAGAUUCAAGAGUUGGAGCAGGAGGCGGAGCAGGCAAGAGCAGAGCUGACAGAGGCUCAGAAACAGCUCCAGGACUUUGAGGAGAAAGAACCCAGGGACCCCGUGGAAAGGGCAAAACUUCAGGAGUAUCACAAAAAAAUUGUUGCAGCACAAAGUAAAGUUCAGGUACUCAGGCAAAAGAAGCGGGAUACAGAGCAACUGGUUUCACUGUCAUCGCAGAGUGAGCGGCGAAUCCAUGAGAUGGAGAGAAAUGUACAGCUGAUGAAGCAGCAACAAGCACUUUUGCAGAAAAAGCUGAAAGAGGAAAUGGAUCAGAAAAGGCGACUUGAGACAGAAAUGCAGAAAGGAAAACAUCGAGUGAAGGAGCUUGAAAUAAAGCAUAAGCAGCAGCAACAAAUUCUCAAGAUUAAAACCGAAGAGCUUGCAGCUUUCCAAAGAAAGAGGAGAAGUGGCAGCAAUGGGUCUGUAGUCAGCCUCGAAGAGCAGCAGAAAAUUGAAGAGCAGAAGAGGUGGUUAGACACUGAGAUUGAGAAGGUUCUUGAACAACGGAAGGCUCUGGAUGACCUGGAAGAGGAGCUGAACAAACGCGAGAUCAUUGUAGAAAAGAAGGAGGCCUUGCUGCAGGAGAAGAAUGGGCUGGAGAGCAAGAGGCUGCGGUCCAGUCAGGCACUGAGUAAUGACAUUGUGAGAGUGUCGAGCCGCAUUGAAUCUCUGGAGAAGGAGCUGUCUGAGAAGAAUGGGCAGUUGCGUAAUGGCAGUGCCUGUGACCAACAGGAAAUCCGGGAAGAGAUUUCCACCCUACGGCAUGAGAAGGAUCAGAUGAUGAAACAGCGCACUGAACUCGAUGAGAAACUACGGAUGGGAAACCUGCUGUCUGCAGAGGAAGAGAGGAUCCUUUUCCAGCUGGAUGAAGCUAUUGAAGCGCUGGAUGCUGCAAUUGAGUACAAAAACGAGACAAUCACACGUCGGCAGAGGGUGCUGCGAGCAUCUGCCAGCAUGCUGUCCCAGUGUGAAAUGAACCUAAUGGCAAAGCUGAGCUAUCUCUCAGCAUCUGAAACUAGAGCACUGCUCUGCAAAUAUUUUGACAAGGUGGUAACACUCCGAGAAGAGGAGCGCAAGAUGCAACUGGCUUUCAUGGAGUUGGAGAUGCGUGCUGAGGAGCAACAAAAGCUCGUUUACUGGCUGGAGGCAGCAGUCGAGCGCCAACGCCUCGAGACAGAUCGUCGCCUCACUGUCCAGCAGAAGGAACAUGAACAAAACCUGCAGCUCCUGCUCCAGCACUGCAGAGGACAAAUGGAUGAAGGAAUUGCUGGGAGUCAGAGGCAGUAUGAGGGCUGGAUUCAAAUGCUGGAGAAGGAGCUUGUCUGGUACAAACGAGCCAACCAUGAAUUGAACACAAAAUUGCGAGAACUGUCUAGUUAUCUCGUGAAUCAGCCAGCAGAGCAAAAUAAAUAUGUUGGGAAAACUCCAGUCACUGUUGACCGAAUUCCUGCGCGACCUGGAAGAGAAGAAAAUGGAAAUAAUAUUUUGCCAGAGCAAAUAUCUGUGCUGUCAGCUACUCUGGAGCACAUUCCCAAACCGAAAGAGGAGCUCCGGGAUCUGGUCCAUGCACCUCUGCCACCUACUUGGAGAAGGUCAUCCCUACCUACAGAAGAUCAGCCUGGACUUGAUGAACUGAGACUACGGGAUUCAGUGGAACAUUUGUGCCAUCGGGUGGUGCAGCCUGCAGAGGGUGCCAUGCACUGGAGUAUUACACCUGUGCAGAAAUCUCAAAAAACAUUCAGACAAGCAAGUCUCAGUUCAAACAUUUCUCACUUCAAUUCUGGGAUAAUUGACGUCCGAAAAAAUCCAGUGGGAUAGCUGACAGUGAAACACCACGUGGUGUUAAAGUAGACAUCAGCACAGAUUCUCAUUGAAGAAAACCCACUUUGAAGAAAAGCAUUUUAUUUGAAUAUUUUCAACAAAAUGGUUCAUAUUGAACAGGAAAACAUUUCAGAAUCUUGCAGAUGGAUUAAAAUCUCGACCAGAUGGAUAAACAGUUCAAUUGGGUUGCAAUUAUUUUGGAGGUGAGACCAGAGGAAACCUAAAAGAAUAUCUGCUUUAUUUUUGUACGACUUCAAAAACUUUAUGUAACUGAGACAAAAUUAUGGUUUAUAUGAUUGAGCAUGUAACCUUUGAAUGUCACAAGGUUUAUAUAUAUGUCAAUUACUGAACAAAUAAAAGGAGUUAUGACUUUUGUAAAUAUUGUAAAGUUGUGUACAGUGACUUUAUCUGUUGUUUGCUCUGUUUUGUAAUUUUUUCACCUGUGCUGUGCAACAGUUGCAUUCUUGUUACUUUGCCUUAAAUAGAAAUGCAGUCAUUACCGUCUCUCGGGUGCAAUAUCCAGAGUAAUCAUAGAGUCAGAGAGAUGUACGGCACGGAAACAGAUCCUUCAGUCGUCCAUGCUGACCA